rnacentral:rRNA from 1 species
GACGAACGCGGCGGCGUGCUAAUACAUGCAAGUAGAACGCUGAAGAGAGGAGCUUGCUCUUCUGGAUGAGUUGCGAACGGGUGAGUAACGCGUAGGUAACCUGCCUUGUAGCGGGGGAUAACUAUUGGAAACGAUAGCUAAUACCGCAUAACAAUGAGUGACACAUGUCAUUUAUUUGAAAGGGGCAAUUGCUCCACUACAAGAUGGACCUGCGUUGUAUUAGCUAGUAGGUGAGGUAACGGCUCACCUAGGCGACGAUACAUAGCCGACCUGAGAGGGUGAUCGGCCACACUGGGACUGAGACACGGCCCAGACUCCUACGGGAGGCAGCAGUAGGGAAUCUUCGGCAAUGGGGGCAACCCUGACCGAGCAACGCCGCGUGAGUGAAGAAGGUUUUCGGAUCGUAAAGCUCUGUUGUAAGUCAAGAACGAGUGUGAGAGUGGAAAGUUCACACUGUGACGGUAGCUUACCAGAAAGGGACGGCUAACUACGUGCCAGCAGCCGCGGUAAUACGUAGGUCCCGAGCGUUGUCCGGAUUUAUUGGGCGUAAAGCGAGCGCAGGCGGUUUGAUAAGUCUGAAGUUAAAGGCUGUGGCUCAACCAUAGUUCGCUUUGGAAACUGUCAAACUUGAGUGCAGAAGGGGAGAGUGGAAUUCCAUGUGUAGCGGUGAAAUGCGUAGAUAUAUGGAGGAACACCGGUGGCGAAAGCGGCUCUCUGGUCUGUAACUGACGCUGAGGCUCGAAAGCGUGGGGAGCGAACAGG